rnacentral:rRNA from 1 species
CUGGCUCAGGACGAACGCUGGCGGCGUGCUUAACACAUGCAAG